UCUAGAUCCUUGCGGAAUCGCCACACUGUCUUCCACAAUGGUUGAACUAAUUUACAAUCCCACCAACAUUGUAAAAGUGUUCCUGUUUCUCCACAUCUUCUCCAGCAUCUGAUGUCUGAAGAUCCUGAUCCUAUAUUCUCUGACCUCCUGUUCUACUACCAACUGUGGCAGCCCCUGAGAAUGUUCCUGCUAAGGGCAGAUGACAGAGUAAAUCAGCUGAAGACCUGUCCCAAGCCUUCCUCUAGAAACUCCACAUUACUCCCAUCUUGAUGUGGUUUGGAUGUGUGUUGCCUCCAAAUCUCAUGUUGAGAUAUGAUCUUCAAUGAUGGAGAUGGGGUCUAGUGGGAGGUAUUGGAUCAUAGGUGUGGAUCCC
rnacentral:lncRNA from 13 species